CAGCAGCCGCGGGAAUACGGAGGGUGCAAGCGUUAAUCGGAAUUACUGGGCGUAAAGCGUGUGUAGGUUGUUGUUCAAGUCAGUUGUGAAAUCCCUGGGCUCAACCUGGGAACUGCUUCUGAGACUGAACGACUAGAGUACGGUAGAGGGUGGUGGAAUUUCCGGUGUAGCGGUGAAAUGCGUAGAUAUCGGAAGGAACAUCAAUGGCGAAGGCAGCCACCUGGGCCUGUACUGACACUGAGACACGAAAGCGUGGGGAUCAAACAGGAUUAGAUACCCCAGUAGUCCCUGUCUCUUAUAC
rnacentral:rRNA from 1 species